AGAGUUUGAUCCUGCCUCAGGACGAACGCUGGCGGCGUGCUUAACACAUGCAAGUCGAACGGAAAGGCCCCAGCUUGCUGGGGUACUCGAGUGGCGAACGGGUGAGUAACACGUGGGUGAUCUGCCCUGCACUUCGGGAUAAGCCUGGGAAACUGGGUCUAAUACCGGAUAGGACCCUCCUUUAGUGUGGGGGGUGGAAAGAUUUUUCGGUGUGGGAUGAGCCCGCGGCCUAUCAGCUUGUUGGUGGGGUAAUGGCCUACCAAGGCGUCGACGGGUAGCCGGCCUGAGAGGGUGGACGGCCACAUUGGGACUGGGAUACGGCCCAGACUCCUACGGGAGGCAGCAGUGGGGAAUAUUGCACAAUGGGCGGAAGCCUGAUGCAGCGACGCCGCGUGGGGGAUGACGGCCUUCGGGUUGUAAACCUCUUUCGACAGGGACGAAGCCUUGUAGGUGACGGUACCUGUAUAAGAAGCACCGGCUAACUACGUGCCAGCAGCCGCGGUAAUACGUAGGGUGCGAGCGUUGUCCGGAAUUAUUGGGCGUAAAGGGUACGUAGGCGGUUUUUUAAGUCAGCAGUUAAAGCGCGGGGCUCAACCCCGUAAAGCUGUUGAAACUGGAGAACUUGAGAGAUGGAGAGGAAAGUGGAAUUCCUAGUGUAGCGGUGAAAUGCGUAGAUAUUAGGAGGAAUACCGGUGGCGAAGGCGACUUUCUGGACAUCAACUGACGCUGAGGUACGAAAGCGUGGGGAGCAAACAGGAUUAGAUACCCUGGUAGUCCACGCCGUAAACGAUGAGUGCUAGGUGUCGGGG
rnacentral:rRNA from 1 species